CUACUGGGGUUUCUAAUCCUGUUUGCUCCCCACGCUUUCGCGCCUCAGCGUCAGAACCGGACCAGUCAGCCGCCUUCGCCACUGGUGUUCUUGCGAAUAUCUACGAAUUUCACCUCUACACUCGCAGUUCCACUAACCUCUUCCGGUCUCAAGCCAUGCAGUAUCGAAGGCAAUUCUGUGGUUGAGCCACAGGCUUUCACCCCCGACUUACAAAGCCGCCUACGCGCCCUUUACGCCCAGUGAUUCCGAACAACGCUAGCCCCCUUCGUAUUACCGCGGCUGCUGGCAC
rnacentral:rRNA from 1 species